rnacentral:lncRNA from 1 species
GCCCACUCACCCCGGGCCAGGAAUGAGCUCAGUGACCAUUUGGAUGCCAUGGAUUCCAACCUGGACAACCUGCAGACCAUGCUGACCAGCCAUGGCUUCAGUGUGGAUACCAGCGCCCUGCUGGACGUGAGUCUGCCCUAUCUUCUCCCUGCUCCACCCCAUUCUCUGUAAGCCAGCCCUGACUUCCCUCCCUCCCUCCUGCAGCUGUUCAGCCCCUCCGUGACCAUGCCCGACAUGAGCCUGCCUGACCUUGACAGCAGCCUGGCCAGCGUGCGUAGGCGGGCAGGGUGGGGGGCGGGGGCACCAGCAGCAGUCCUCAUCAUGUCCCUUCCACCCCACAGAUACAGGAGCUCCUGUCUCCCCAGGAGCCCCCCAGGCCUCUUGAGGCAGAAAACAAUGGCCCUGACUCAGGUGAGCCAAGCCCUGUGCCUGCCCCCCAUCCUCCCACCACCCAUAUGGCCCUGACCCCCACCCACCCACAGGGAAGCAGCUGGUGCAGUACACAGCACAGCCUCUGUUCCUGCUGGACCCGGACGCCGUGGACACGGGGAGCAGUGAACUACCUGUGCUCUUUGAGCUGGGGGAGGGCUCCUACUUCUCCGAGGGAGACGACUACACAGAUGAUCCCACCAUUUCCCUGCUGACAGGCUCUGAGCCCCCCAAAGCCAAGGACCCUACUGUCUCCUAGAGAUGCCAAGAGGGACUGGGAGGGCCUGUGGCCUGCUUCCACCCUUAGGACAGGUUUGGGGGAGGCAGGACAGGCACACAGCCUCCACAGCCCCAGUGGGGGAAGAGGGGCUCAGGGCUGGACAGUGCCUCCAGUCCAGAGUGAGGGCCCUUGGGCCUGCACACCUGCUGCCUUCGCCCAGCCCCGCAUCCCCAUGGCUUGUUUGGGGCUUCACAGUCACAACUUGGACUGAUUCUGCAGGUUGUUCAUAGAAUUGUAUUUUGGAUUUUUACAUGAGGGUCCCCCUUUCCCCUUCACAGAGAAAUAUAUACACACAGACGGACAGACAAGACGGGCAGAGAUCUAUAAACCGACAAGCUCUAUGCUA